GGACUACUGGGGUAUCUAAUCCUGUUUGCUCCCCACGCUUUCGCGUCUCAGCGUCAGUGUCCGUCCAGGUCGCCGCCUUCGCCACUGGUGUUCCUCCCGAUAUCUACGAAUUUCACCUCUACACCGGGAAUUCCGCGACCCUCUCCGGCACUCCAGCUCGCCAGUUUCGCGCGCACUUCCUUGGUUGAGCCAAGGGAUUUCACACGCGACUUAACAAGCCGCCUACAAGCGCUUUACGCCCAAUGAUUCCGAACAACGCUCGCACCCUCUGUAUUACCGCGGCUGCUGGCAC
rnacentral:rRNA from 1 species